rnacentral:rRNA from 1 species
CGCUUAGGCGUGUGACUGCGUACCUUUUGUAUAAUGGGUCAGCGACUUAUAUUCUGUAGCAAGGUUAACCGAAUAGGGGAGCCGAAGGGAAACCGAGUCUUAACUGGGCGUUAAGUUGCAGGGUAUAGACCCGAAACCCGGUGAUCUAGCCAUGGGCAGGUUGAAGGUUGGGUAACACUAACUGGAGGACCGAACCGACUAAUGUUGAAAAAUUAGCGGAUGACUUGUGGCUGGGGGUGAAAGGCCAAUCAAACCGGGAGAUAGCUGGUUCUCCCCGAAAGCUAUUUAGGUAGCGCCUCGUGAAUUCAUCUCCGGGGGUAGAGCACUGUUUCGGCAAGGGGGUCAUCCCGACUUACCAACCCGAUGCAAACUGCGAAUACCGGAGAAUGUUAUCACGGGAGACACACGGCGGGUGCUAACGUCCGUCGUGAAGAGGGAAACAACCCAGACCGCCAGCUAAGGUCCCAAAGUCAUGGUUAAGUGGGAAACGAUGUGGGAAGGCCCAGACAGCCAGGAUGUUGGCUUAGAAGCAGCCAUCAUUUAAAGAAAGCGUAAUAGCUCACUGGUCGAGUCGGCCUGCGCGGAAGAUGUAACGGGGCUAAACCAUGCACCGAAGCUGCGGCAGCGACGCUUAUGCGUUGUUGGGUAGGGGAGCGUUCUGUAAGCCUGUGAAGGUGUGCUGUGAGGUAUGCUGGAGGUAUCAGAAGUGCGAAUGCUGACAUAAGUAACGAUAAAGCGGGUGAAAAGCCCGCUCGCCGGAAGACCAAGGGUUCCUGUCCAACGUUAAUCGGGGCAGGGUGAGUCGACCCCUAAGGCGAGGCCGAAAGGCGUAGUCGAUGGGAAACAGGUUAAUAUUCCUGUACUUGGUGUUACUGCGAAGGGGGGACGGAGAAGGCUAUGUUGGCCGGGCGACGGUUGUCCCGGUUUAAGCGUGUAGGCUGGUUUUCCAGGCAAAUCCGGAAAA